rnacentral:rRNA from 1 species
CAUAUCAAUAAGCGGAGGAAAAGAAACCAACAGGGAUUCCCCUAGUAACGGCGAGUGAAGCGGGAACAGCUCAAAUUUGAAAUCUGGCCCUUGGGUCCGAGUUGUAAUUUGCAGAGGAUGCUUUUGGUGCGGUGCCUUCCGAGUUCCCUGGAACGGGACGCCUUAGAGGGUGAGAGCCCCGUACGGUUGGCCACCAAGCCUGUGUAAAGCUCCUUCGACGAGUCGAGUAGUUUGGGAAUGCUGCUCAAAAUGGGAGGUAUAUUUCUUCUAAAGCUAAAUACUGGCCAGAGACCGAUAGCGCACAAGUAGAGUGAUCGAAAGAUGAAAAGCACUUUGAAAAGAGGGUUAAAUAGCACGUGAAAUUGUUGAAAGGGAAGGGUUUAUGACCAGACUUUUUCUAGGGGGAUCAUCCGGUGUUCUCACCGGUGCACUUCCCCUAGUUGAGGCCAGCAUCGGUUUCUGUCGGGGGAUAAAAGCUUCGGGAAUGUGGCUCCUUCGGGAGUGUUAUAGCCUGUUGCAUAAUACCUUGACGGGGACCGAGGUUCGCGCAUUGCAAGGAUGCUGGCGUAAUGGUUAUUAACCACCCGUCUUGAAACACGGACCAAGGAGUCGAACAUUUGUGCGAGUGUUUGGGUGUUAAACCCUCACGCGUAAUGAAAGUGAACGGAGGUGAGAGCCCUUCGGGGUGCAUCAUCGACCGAUCCUGAUGUCUUCGGAUGGAUUUGAGUAAGAGCAUAACUGUUCGGACCCGAAAGAUGGUGAACUAUGCGUGGAUAGGGUGAAGCCAGAGGAAACUCUGGUGGAGGCUCGCAGCGGUUCUGACGUGCAAAUCGAUCGUCAAAUCUGCGCAUGGGG